UGCUGGGAUUACAGGUGUGAGCCCCUGCACCCAGCGAGUUACAUAGGCUUUAUGUAAUCCAAUGGGAAACAGUUUUUCAAAAUUUCUCCUGUAGAAUCCACUUGCAAACAAUAUUUGCCACAAACGGGGGCUUUAUUAAAGAUCACACAUCAGCUUUAGUUAGGGGUUUUAUGGGAAAUGCACACUGCUUUUGUGGACUCCAGAGGUAGCAAUGUUACCGUAGAACCUUUUGUCUAUCUUGUGAACUCUUCACUUCAACAUCAUUUCUUCUCUGCUUCUUUUGUUCUUUUACAGGCACAAAACAGCAACACCACCUACCCCUCCCAUUGCCUUCUUUAGAGUAAGUUCUCUGUUCUGAAGCCUUGGCACAGGCUGACAUCCUUCUUACAUAUUUUACUGAAUUGCAGAUGUGAAACUGGUGCCCUUUCCUGUGAAGCUAACCACAGCACUGGCCCAAGAGUCACAGAAGAUAAAGGAAGAGACCCAAGAGGAGUUGGACGAGCAAGUCCUGCUGCUGCUGCAGACGCUGCACACACUGGUCUAGGAUUUUGAGAAACUGAAGGAGGAGAUCCAGCUGUUGCUGGAGUGACUGUCAGCUGGCCCUGCUCCACUUAGACAAGGUGAGCCAGCCCAUCAGAAACAAUGUGCCUGAUUUGCAAUGGCACCCGAUGUCUUGCAUUGUAAUUGCAUUGACCUUCCCAGUAUAAAAGGAUAUGACUGUUGCUGCUUCUCUUCCACUUUUCAAAUGUCAUCUAAAGUAUCUCUUGCAGCCCACAGGAAUUUGGAAUUAUGCUAAAAAGUGGAUUCUGAGAAUCAUGUUUGUAACUUAAAUGAGCUUACACAGUGCAUAUCACCUUGCAUAUGUCAAAAUAAAAAAUGAAAUAAAAAUCGAUACAAUCUCUUCUUC